CAACCAAUUAAGUGGCUAGAUAAUUCCCUGUUGAUCUCCAAAGUUCUGCCGUGCUCUUUAUCUAGAGGUGGCCCUAACAACUGAGCUAACAAAUCCCUAAUCAAUCUCCUAACAAAUAGCUAACAGCCACAACUCAAUCUAACUCCAACUAACUCAAUCUAACUCGAACCAAUAGAAGCUAACUAACCAACAGACGCUAGCUGUGGCGCAUUUUGGCUUGUGCGUGUUCACAGCGCGUCCUCUGCUGUCGCGGGGCGGACUCCUGCUGCUUCUUCCUGCGCGCGUAAGUCUUGCCGACAAAAGCGUCUACAACAGGAGGUAUAGGGUCAACCCUGAUAAGGAGAUACUGGAGAUCCUGCACGCUGCAUCCAAGUCCAACCAGGUAGAAGUACUAGCAAAGAUUUACUGGGGUGAUGCAAGGGAGAAACUCUGUGAGGCAGUAGAUGAUCUCAAGGUCAACACCUUUGUGCUUGGUUGCAGGCCCUUGAAAGGGCCCUCCUUGGAAGUGUCAGCAGCUAUGUAGUCAACAACGCAACAUGCCCGGUUAAUGUGGUGCAUGGUCCAACCGGAUCAAGUGCCUGAUCCUAUUUGCUUAAAGGUGGGAGUUUUUAAUGGGCUUGUUUGGGUGCUCAGUUAUCCACUAGCAAGGUUAUAUCUGAAUUGAUAUUAUUUGAAAGGAUGGUGAUGUUUGGAUCUGACGAUUAGCCUUUCAGUAUUAUUACUCGAAAUCUGUUGUCGAUUUGUGAUAUUGGUGAAUUUCCCUCUGUUACCUCUUAUCGACAUUUCUGCUGUUUUUUACAAGAUACUUGUAAGCAAAUGCCUACAAACUUACUUAGUGUGUGGAUGGUGCAUUUGCUUUUAUAUAUGUGCAUGACAUG